rnacentral:rRNA from 1 species
AUUGAACGCUGGCGGCAGGCCUAACACAUGCAAGUCGAGCGGAUGAAGGGAGCUUGCUCCUGGAUUCAGCGGCGGACGGGUGAGUAAUGCCUAGGAAUCUGCCUGGUAGUGGGGGAUAACGUCCGGAAACGGGCGCUAAUACCGCAUACGUCCUGAGGGAGAAAGUGGGGGAUCUUCGGACCUCACGCUAUCAGAUGAGCCUAGGUCGGAUUAGCUAGUUGGUGGGGUAAAGGCCUACCAAGGCGACGAUCCGUAACUGGUCUGAGAGGAUGAUCAGUCAAACUGGAACUUGGACACGGUCCAGACUCCUACGGGAGGCAGCAGUGGGGAAUAUUGGACAAUGGGCGAAAGCCUGAUCCAGCCAUGCCGCGUGUGUGAAGAAGGUCUUCGGAUUGUAAAGCACUUUUAGUUGGGAGGAAGGGCAGUAAGUUAAUACCUUGCUGUUUUGACGUUACCAACAGAAUAAGCACCGGCUAACUUCGUG